CAACUUUCAGCAAUGGAUCUCUUGGCUCUCGCAUCGAUGAAGAACGCAGCGAAAUGCGAUAAGUAAUGUGAAUUGCAGAAUUCAGUGAAUCAUCRAAUCUUUGAACGCAUCUUGCGCUCCUUGGUAUUCUGAGGAGCAUGCCUGUUUGAGUGUCAU
rnacentral:rRNA from 1 species